rnacentral:rRNA from 1 species
UACGGAGGGGGCUAGCGUUGUUCGGAAUUACUGGGCGUAAAGCGCGCGUAGGCGGCUUUGUAAGUUAGAGGUGAAAGCCCGGAGCUCAACUCCGGAAUUGCCUUUAAGACUGCAUCGCUAGAAUCAUGGAGAGGUGAGUGGAAUUCCGAGUGUAGAGGUGAAAUUCGUAGAUAUUCGCAAGAACACCAGUGGCGAAGGCGGCUCACUGGCCCGAUACUGACGCUGAGGUGCGAAAGCGAUGGGGAG